rnacentral:rRNA from 1 species
AUGAAAAUGAUUUGUUGGAACUGCUGAGGUCCAGGUCAGCCUCGAACAGUCCAAGAACUUGUGUGCCUUUCAAAGACACAUUGUCCCAACUUUAUCUUUCUUUAUGGAACAAGGCAAAAUAAAGAGUAUGUUGAGAGUUUGCGUGAUCAUUUGGGUAUGAAAAAUACUUUUACUGUUUCUGUGCCAGGCAAAGCAGGUGGAUUAGCUAUCUUUUGGGAUGACCUAUAUACAAUUUGGAGCUGA